UCAGCUAAGUGGCGGACGGGUGAGUAAUGUAUAGUUAAUCUGCCCUUUAGAGAGGAAUAACUACUGGAAACGGUAGCUAAUACCUCAUACUCCUUCUUUCUUAAUGAGAGUUGGGAAAUGUUUUUUCGCUAAAGGAUGAGACUAUAUGGUAUCAGGUAGUUGGUGGGGUAAGAGCCCACCAAGCCUAUGACGCCUAGCUGGUCUGAGAGGAUGAUCAGCCACACUGGAACUGAAACACGGUCCAGACUCCUACGGGAGGCAGCAGUGAGGAAUUUUGCGCAAUGGGGGAAACCCUGACGCAGCAACGCCGCGUGAGUGAAGAAGGCUUUCGGGUCGUAAAGCUCUGUCAAGUGGGAAAAAAGUCUGAUGAUUAAUAGUUGUCAGAUCUGAUGGUACCACUGGAGGAAGCACCGGCUAACUCCGUGCCAGCAGCCGCGGUAAUACGGAGGGUGCAAGCGUUGUUCGGAAUUACUGGGCGUAAAGGGCGUGCAGGCGGGUUGGUAAGUCAGAUGUGAAAGCCCUGGGCUCAACCCAGGAAGUGCAUUUGAAACUGCCAUCCUAGAGUAUGGGAGAGGAGAGUGGAAUUCCCAAUGUAGAGGUGAAAUUCGUAGAUAUUGGGAGGAACACCCGUGGCGAAGGCGACUCUCUGGACCAAUACUGACGCUGAGACGCGAAAGCGUGGGGAGCAAACAGGAUUAGAUACCCUGGUAGUCCACGCUGUAAACGAUGAGAACUAG
rnacentral:rRNA from 1 species